CCCCUUUCAGGACUGCAUCUGGAGAGUUUCCAGAACUCUACCAGUCUCGUCUACGGGAGGGAGAGUCAAGCAGAGGCAAAUCCAUUCCAUUCCUAGCUUGGGCCGUGGUUAGCGAGUGGAAGGCCAUCGGCUACAAGU